AUGAACGCUGGCGGCGUGCCUCAUACCUGCAAGUCGAGCGAACAGAUAAGGAGCUUGCUCCUUUGACGUUAGCGGCGGACGGGUGAGUAACACGUGGGUAACCUACCUAUAAGACUGGGAUAACUUCGGGAAACCGGAGCUAAUACCGGAUAAUAUUUCGAACCGCAUGGUUCGAUAGUGAAAGAUGGUUUUGCUAUCACUUAUAGAUGGACCCGCGCCGUAUUAGCUAGUUGGUAAGGUAACGGCUUACCAAGGCGACGAUACGUAGCCGACCUGAGAGGGUGAUCGGCCACACUGGAACUGAGACACGGUCCAGACUCCUACGGGAGGCAGCAGUAGGGAAUCUUCCGCAAUGGGCGAAAGCCUGACGGAGCAACGCCGCGUGAGUGAUGAAGGUCUUCGGAUCGUAAAACUCUGUUAUUAGGGAAGAACAUACGUGUAGGUAACUGUGCACGUCUUGACGGUACCUAAUCAGAAAGCCACGGCUAACUACGUG
rnacentral:rRNA from 1 species